UACUGAAGCCACGCUGUCUCACCGCAUUGUAGCGACAACUGCACGAUAGAAAGACUGUUGUGGAGUGAGGCGGGAUUUUCAACGAGGUUAGAAAGUUCUCCAUCGCCGACAGACAGAGGGUUUCAUUUUCACUGUGGAAAGUAAACGUUUGUUUUAUAAAAAACAAUGGAGUGGAUUAAUGUGAAACAUCAAGGACUGGACACACGUACACUUCCUGAAGACAGAUUCACUUCAUCAUUACUGCUGAUUAAAGGCUCCCCAACAUCACUGCUUGUAUCACUGGCAAGAGCGUGCAAAACUUGGGCUGUAAAAAACUAGAGAUGUCAUUAUUACUGGGCAUGCCUGCAGGAGUUGCUGGGGAAACACUCGAGACUGCCGAUUAGAGCGGUUUUUACAGUCCUAGUGGAAUAAAGCUAAUAGAGAUUUUUUUUUUUAAAAACCAAAUGGACCUUAUAAAUAUAUAGAUUUUAAAAAUGUGUUCAAUAUCAAUUCAUCAAGCUAUAACUAAUUUACUCCUCACUAAAAGCAGACAUUGUUUUCUGUCUAGUCAAACAUUUUCAAGAUCCCCACAUCAGUUUACAGUACUAACGUUCCUGGGUACUGCUUGCCUUUCUGGAAGGCAUUU